rnacentral:rRNA from 1 species
CGAGGGGCAGCAUGGUCUUAGCUGUGCUAAGGCUGAUGGCGACCGGCGCACGGGUGAGUAACACGUAUCCAACCUGCCGUCUACUCUUGGCCAGCCUUCUGAAAGGAAGAUUAAUCCAGGAUGGGAUCAUGAGUUCACAUGUCCGCAUGAUUAAAGGUAUUUUCCGGUAGACGAUGGGGAUGCGUUCCAUUAGAUAGUAGGCGGGGUAACGGCCCACCUAGUCAACGAUGGAUAGGGGUUCUGAGAGGAAGGUCCCCCACAUUGGAACUGAGACACGGUCCAAACUCCUACGGGAGGCAGCAGUGAGGAAUAUUGGUCAAUGGGCGAUGGCCUGAACCAGCCAAGUAGCGUGAAGGAUGACUGCCCUAUGGGUUGUAAACUUCUUUUAUAAAGGAAUAAAGUCGGGUAUGCAUACCCGUUUGCAUGUACUUUAUGAAUAAGGAUCGGCUAACUCCGUGCCAGCAGCCGCGGUAAUACGGAGGAUCCGAGCGUUAUCCGGAUUUAUUGGGUUUAAAGGGAGCGUAGAUGGAUGUUUAAGUCAGUUGUGAAAGUUUGCGGCUCAACCGUAAAAUUGCAGUUGAUACUGGAUGUCUUGAGUGCAGUUGAGGCAGGCGGAAUUCGUGGUGUAGCGGUGAAAUGCUUAGAUAUCACGAAGAACUCCGAUUGCGAAGGCAGCCUGCUAAGCUGCAACUGACAUUGAGGCUCGAAAGUGUGGGUAUCAAACAGGAUUAGAUACCCUGGUAGUCCACACGGUAAACGAUGAAUACUCGCUGUUUGCGAUAUACGGCAAGCGGCCAAGCGAAAGCGUUAAGUAUUCCACCUGGGGAGUACGCCGGCAACGGUGAAACUCAAAGGAAUUGACGGGGGCCCGCACAAGCGGAGGAACAUGUGGUUUAAUUCGAUGAUACGCGAGGAACCUUACCCGGGCUUAAAUUGCACUCGAAUGAUCC